rnacentral:rRNA from 1 species
UACGAAGGGGGCUAGCGUUGUUCGGAAUCACUGGGCGUAAAGCGCACGUAGGCGGAUCUUUAAGUCAGGGGUGAAAUCCCGAGGCUCAACCUCGGAACUGCCUUUGAUACUGGGGGAUCUCGAGUCCGGGAGAGGUGAGUGGAACUGCGAGUGUAGAGGUGAAAUUCGUAGAUAUUCGCAAGAACACCAGUGGCGAAGGCGGCUCACUGGCC